AUGCAAGUCGAGCGGUAGCACAGAGAGCUUGCUCUCGGGUGACGAGCGGCGGACGGGUGAGUAAUGUCUGGGAAACUGCCUGAUGGAGGGGGAUAACUACUGGAAACGGUAGCUAAUACCGCAUAAUGUCGCAAGACCAAAGUGGGGGACCUUCGGGCCUCAUGCCAUCAGAUGUGCCCAGAUGGGAUUAGCUAGUAGGUGGGGUAAUGGCUCACCUAGGCGACGAUCCCUAGCUGGUCUGAGAGGAUGACCAGCCACACUGGAACUGAGACACGGUCCAGACUCCUACGGGAGGCAGCAGUGGGGAAUAUUGCACAAUGGGCGCAAGCCUGAUGCAGCCAUGCCGCGUGUGUGAAGAAGGCCUUCGGGUUGUAAAGCACUUUCAGCGGGGAGGAAGGCGUUAAGGUUAAUAACCUUGGCGAUUGACGUUACCCGCAGAAGAAGCACCGGCUAACUCCGUGCCAGCAGCCGCGGUAAUACGGAGGGUGCAAGCGUUAAUCGGAAUUACUGGGCGUAAAGCGCACGCAGGCGGUCUGUCAAGUCGGAUGUGAAAUCCCCGGGCUCAACCUGGGAACUGCAUUCGAAACUGGCAGGCUAG
rnacentral:rRNA from 1 species